CGGACAAAGAAAGAAGAUUUUAUUUGCUUCGCCAAACGAUCUCACGAAAAAAUGACUCUGGUCCACAAGCAAGAAAGCAUUCCAGGACGGAGCGUGUGUCUGGAAGCCCUGUCAGUCAGUAGACAUCACUGCCACC